UAUCAAAAACAUGUCUACAUAAAAGUUAUAUGUAGUCCGGCCUGCUCACUGAGAUAGAGACUUUAAGAGCCGCGGUAUUUUGACCGUGCAAAGGUAGCAUAAUCAUUAGUUUUUUAAUUGAAAACUCGUAUGAAUGGUUAGACAAAAGAGAUACUGUCUCUAGCUUUAAAAUUUGAAUUUAACUUUUAAGUGAAAAGGCUUAAAUUUUUCAAGGGGACGAUAAGACCCUAUAAAGCUUUAUAAAUAACUAGAUAUUUUUUAGAUUAUAAAAUAAAAAGAAAUUCUCAGAGGUUUAUUAUGUUGGGGCGACACGGAUAUAAAUAAAAGCAACUAUCAGAAAAGAAAACAAAAAUUUUUGAAUUUUAUGAUCCUAAUUAAAGAUUAUAAGACUAAGUUACUUUAGGGAUAACAGCGUUAUUCUUUUUGAGAGUUCAUAUCGAAAAAAGAGUUUGCGACCUCGAUGUUGAAUCAAAAAAUCUUUAUAGUGCAGCAGCUAUAAAAGAAGGCCUGUUCGACCUUUAAAAUUUUACGUGAUUUGAGUUCAAACCGGUGUAAGCCAGGUUGG
rnacentral:rRNA from 1 species